CGGGACACGUGGUAUCCUGUCUGAAUAUGGGGGGACCAUCCUCCAAGGCUAAAUACUCCUGACUGACCGAUAGUGAACCAGUACCGUGAGGGAAAGGCGAAAAGAACCCCGGCGAGGGGAGUGAAAAAGAACCUGAAACCGUGUACGUACAAGCAGUGGGAGCACAGAGCAAUCUGUGUGACUGCGUACCUUUUGUAUAAUGGGUCAGCGACUUAUAUUCUGUAGCAAGGUUAACCGAAUAGGGGAGCCGAAGGGAAACCGAGUCUUAACCGGGCGUUAAGUUGCAGGGUAUAGACCCGAAACCCGGUGAUCUAGCCAUGGGCAGGUUGAAGGUUGGGUAACACUAACUGGAGGACCGAACCGACUAAUGUUGAAAAAUUAGCGGAUGACUUGUGGCUGGGGGUGAAAGGCCAAUCAAACCGGGAGAUAGCUGGUUCUCCCCGAAAGCUAUUUAGGUAGCGCCUCGUGAAUUCAUCUCCGGGGGUAGAGCACUGUUUCGGCAAGGGGGUCAUCCCGACUUACCAACCCGAUGCAAACUGCGAAUACCGGAGAAUGUUAUCACGGGAGACACACGGCGGGUGCUAACGUCCGUCGUGAAGAGGGAAACAACCCAGACCGCCAGCUAAGGUCCCAAAGUCAUGGUUAAGUGGGAAACGAUGUGGGAAGGCCCAGACAGCCAGGAUGUUGGCUUAGAAGCAGCCAUCAUUUAAAGAAAGCGUAAUAGCUCACUGGUCGAGUCGGCCUGCGCGGAAGAUGUAACGGGGCUAAACCAUGCACCGAAGCUGCGGCAGCGACACUGUGUGUUGUUGGGUAGGGGAGCGUUCUGUAAGCCUGUGAAGGUGUGCUGUGAGG
rnacentral:rRNA from 1 species